rnacentral:rRNA from 1 species
AGUGAACGCUGGCGGUAGGCCUAACACAUGCAAGUCGAACGGCAGCACAGUAAGAGCUUGCUCUUACGGGUGGCGAGUGGCGGACGGGUGAGGAAUACAUCGGAAUCUACUUUUUCGUGGGGGAUAACGUAGGGAAACUUACGUUAAUACCGCAUACGACCUACGGGUGAAAGCAGGGGAUCUUCGGACCUUGCGCGAUUGAAUGAGCCGAUGUCGGAUUAGCUAGUUGGCGGGGUAAAGGCCCACCAAGGCGACGAUCCGUAGCUGGUCUGAGAGGAUGAUCAGCCACACUGGAACUGAGACACGGUCCAGACUCCUACGGGAGGCAGCAGUGGGGAAUAUUGGACAAUGGGCGCAAGCCUGAUCCAGCCAUACCGCGUGGGUGAAGAAGGCCUUCGGGUUGUAAAGCCCUUUUGUUGGGAAAGAAAAGCAGCAGGUGAAUACCCCGCUGUUCUGACGGUACCCAAAGAAUAAGCACCGGCUAACUUCGUG